AAAAAGAAGAGGUUUUAAGAAUUUUGGAGCAAAUUGUCGAAAUAAAGGUUUAAGACGUAUCUAGCGGCGGAGAGAACAUCGAGCCGCCUCUCACUCGGCUCGUACUUACCUUUCCGGAGCUGAUACCGAUGAGUCACUGCCGAGAUUGUGUACGUUUGCCCUUCUAUCAUCACGUUCUCUCCGCACUGCAGAUUCUGCAAAUCAAUCAAUUAGCUUGCUUUUUCAUCAAAUCAGUCUUUUUUUUCAGGGGAAGAAGAAGAUGAAGAUUUUGAGACUCACAUGAGGAAGGCAACGAACGCCAAGAGAUUUAGGUGGAGGAGUUAUUUCAAUUACUUUGUAUGGAU
rnacentral:lncRNA from 1 species